rnacentral:pre_miRNA from 1 species
AGCCUUUUUUAUUCGUGUUGAGAUUUCAUCAGAAAUCAAUCCAUCAGAGCAGAUGCAAAUUUGCAAAUAAAUGAAGUA